rnacentral:ncRNA from 2 species
GGGUGUGUCGGUGUGUUGGCACAGGUUAUAGGAUGGUCGGGCCGCUGUCC